GGCAGGUGCCUCGACCCCGCCCCCUCGAGGGCGGACGUUGGGUUUCGAACGCCGCGGUGGCACGUGACAUGAUAUGACAAUCAGAACAAAGAAGGCAGCCGCAUCCGUCCACUCUGCCACAGCUGCUGAGGAGGAGGAUCCGGACCUUCAGCUGUGUGAUGAAUGAAAACAGGAGGAACUCGGAUCAGCUGGAAUGAUCUUUCAGGAGAAAUGGAGGAGAAACAGACAUUUGCCGUGCCAUAGAAAGCCAUAUUCUAGUCCCCAAAAGCCAUCAAUUAGGAAGAUAAUUGUUAGCUUGUGGAUCUUUUGAAAAUUCCUACUUUGGAAAGCUAUGGUAAGUACAGGGAUGAGCAACUGUGAUCAUAAAGACUUUGUCAGUUCUGGUGGUCUGUGUUUUAAAAAGGUAAUCCCUUAACCUAAGAGGAUGUGAAGAUGAGAGAAUGGCCAAGAGUACCUUCCACAAGGUAUGUCUUUCGGGUGUACUGAUAAAAAUGUGAUGCUGGACCACAAAAACAUUUUGUAUAUAAUUUGCUAUCCAAAAAUGUUCUAUUUGAAUAAUCAAAUCCAUUCCAAACCCAGUUUCCCCCUUCCUGACUCCUAAUCUGAUACGUCUACUCUCCUCCCAUCUUUUCCCCCCUACCCCCUUGGUUCCCAGUCUCCUUGCCCAACCAAUCCAUUUUCCUGCAGCUCCUCAUCUAAUCUCAGUCUCCCCUGACUCACUGGCAUCUAAUUCUACCCCCUAUUCCUUCCCUGACUUCCAGUCCUAGUAUCCUCCAGCAAGUUCUAGUGUCCUUGCCAAGACAGUCCCAGUUUCUCCUAGUUACCAGUUCUAACUUCCCUUUCCUGUCACCUGCAAAACUCUCACGCCCUAGUCUCCUCCCCCAUAGGGUUACCAGAUAGCAACUGUGAAAAAACGAGAUGAAGGGUGGGGGGUAAUAGGCACCUAUAUAAGAAAAAGUCCCCAAAAACAGGAUUGUCCCUUUAAAAAUGGGACGGAUAGUCACCCUACUCCCCCAAGGCGCCUUGUCUCAGUUUACUCCUCCUGUCCUCCCGCCAGUUUGGCUCUUGUUAUCUCUGCAUUUGAACCAGACAGCUGCCUGGGUGCCAGCGGUCGGUUCACUGAGAACACAUGGGAAACAGUCUCCUUGCACUUAGUUCAGGUGCCCAGACCUGGCAUAACCUGCAGUAGCCCAAAGCUCAGCAUCAGGGUGCAGCAUGCCCUGUGCAGAUGAAAUCUUCAGGAAGCAUAGUUGUGAUGUUCUAAAACGCCUCUGUUGAACGUGUGCAAACUGAUUUGUUUAAAGGCUUACAGUUUGGGCAGAUUUUCACAAGGAUGGCAAAAGGCACUGCACAUCCUUGACACAAAAGCAACGUCACAGCCAAAUUUCAACAGAGCUUUUCAAAGAAAAGGUUACCAGAAUAGUUAAUUAGGCCUGGUUUACACUAACAGUUAGGUUGACAUAAGCGGCAUUAGGUCGAUUUUAUAAUGUAUGUGUCUACACUACCAAGUCCCUUCCGCCAACCUAAGUGACCUGUAAAGUCGACCUUCUGUACUCCACCUCCGUGAGAGGCAUAGCGCUUGAUUUGACAUCCACAGGUCGACAUGGGAUAGUGUAGACGCUGCGUUGUGUAAUUCGAAUGAAUUGGCUUUCAGUAGAUGUCCCACAGUGUUCUGCUGUGAUCACUCUGGAUAGCACUUUCAACUCCACUGCAAGUCAGCCAGGUGUACAUAAGAAACAGCCGCUCUACUGUUAAAGCCCCAGGAAUGUUUGAAUUUUCACUUCCUGUUUGAUCAGCAUGGAGAGCUCGUCAGCAUGG